AUGAACGCUGGCGGCGUGCCUAAUACAUGCAAGUCGAGCGAACAGACGAGGAGCUUGCUCCUCUGACGUUAGCGGCGGACGGGUGAGUAACACGUGGAUAACCUACCUAUAAGACUGGGAUAACUUCGGGAAACCGGAGCUAAUACCGGAUAAUAUAUUGAACCGCAUGGUUCAAUAGUGAAAGACGGUUUUGCUGUCACUUAUAGAUGGAUCCGCGCCGCAUUAGCUAGUUGGUAAGGUAACGGCUUACCAAGGCAACGAUGCGUAGCCGACCUGAGAGGGUGAUCGGCCACACUGGAACUGAGACACGGUCCAGACUCCUACGGGAGGCAGCAGUAGGGAAUCUUCCGCAAUGGGCGAAAGCCUGACGGAGCAACGCCGCGUGAGUGAUAAAGGUCUUCGGAUCGUAAAACUCUGUUAUUAGGGAAGAACAAAUGUGUAAGUAACUAUGCACGUCUUGACGGUACCUAAUCAGAAAGCCACGGCUAACUACGU
rnacentral:rRNA from 1 species